rnacentral:rRNA from 1 species
GAUGAACGCUGGCGGCGUGCCUAAUACAUGCAAGUCGAGCGAACAGACGAGGAUCUUGCUCCUCUUACGUUAGCGGCGGACGGGUGAGUAACACGUGGAUAACCUACCUAUAAGACUGGGAUAACUUCGGGAAACCGGAGCUAAUACCGGAUAAUAUAUUGAACCGCAUGGUUCAAUGGUGAAAGACGGUUUUGCUGUCACUUAUAGAUGGAUCCGCGCCGCAUUAGCUAGUUGGUAAGGUAACGGCUUACCAAGGCAACGAUGCGUAGCCGACCUGAGAGGGUGAUCGGCCACACUGGAACUGAGACACGGUCCAGACUCCUACGGGAGGCAGCAGUAGGGAAUCUUCCGCAAUGGGCGAAAGCCUGACGGAGCAACGCCGCGUGAGUGAUGAAGGUCUUCGGAUCGUAAAACUCUGUUAUUAGGGAAGAACAAAUGUGUAAGUAACUAUGCACGUCUUGACGGUACCUAAUCAGAAAGCCACGGCUAACUACGUG